rnacentral:rRNA from 2 species
CGGGCGGGGGCUAUACAUGCAGUCGAGCGGACCGACGGGAGCUUGCUCCCUUAGGUCAGCGGCGGACGGGUGAGUAACACGUGGGUAACCUGCCUGUAAGACUGGGAUAACUCCGGGAAACCGGGGCUAAUACCGGAUGCUUGAUUGAACCGCAUGGUUCAAUCAUAAAAGGUGGCUUUUAGCUACCACUUACAGAUGGACCCGCGGCGCAUUAGCUAGUUGGUGAGGUAACGGCUCACCAAGGCGACGAUGCGUAGCCGACCUGAGAGGGUGAUCGGCCACACUGGGACUGAGACACGGCCCAGACUCCUACGGGAGGCAGCAGUAGGGAAUCUUCCGCAAUGGACGAAAGUCUGACGGAGCAACGCCGCGUGAGUGAUGAAGGUUUUCGGAUCGUAAAACUCUGUUGUUAGGGAAGAACAAGUACCGUUCGAAUAGGGCGGUACCUUGACGGUACCUAACCAGAAAGCCACGGCUAACUACGUGCCAGCAGCCGCGGUAAUACGUAGGUGGCAAGCGUUGUCCGGAAUUAUUGGGCGUAAAGCGCGCGCAGGCGGUUUCUUAAGUCUGAUGUGAAAGCCCCCGGCUCAACCGGGGAGGGUCAUUGGAAACUGGGGAACUUGAGUGCAGAAGAAGAGAGUGGAAUUCCACGUGUAGCGGUGAAAUGCGUAAAGAUGUGGAGGAACACCAGUGGCGAAGGCGACUCUCUGGUCUGUAACUGACGCUGAAGCGCGAAAGCGUGGGGAGCGAACAGGAUUAGAUACCCUGGUAGUCCACGCCGUAAACGAUGAGUGCUAAGUGUUAGAGGGUUUCCGCCCUUUAGUGCUGCAGCAAACGCAUUAAGCACUCCGCCUGGGGAGUACGGUCGCAAGACUGAAACUCAAAGGAAUUGACGGGGGCCCGCACAAGCGGUGGAGCAUGUGGUUUAAUUCGAAGCAACGCGAAGAACCUUACCAGGUCUUGACAUCCUCUGACAACCCUAGAGAUAGGGCUUCCCCUUCGGGGGCAGAAUGACAGGUGGUGCAUGGUUGUCGUCAGCUCGUGUCGUGAAAUGUUGGGUUAAGUCCCGCAACGAGCGCAACCCUUGAUCUUAAUUGCCAGCAUUCAGUUGGGGCAUUCUAAGGUGACUGCCCGUGAACAAACCGGAAGAAAG